GAAAUAAAAGGUGGUGAAAAUCAAGUUAGUAGAAGUGAGAGAAGUUGAAUAAAUUAAAUUGAAGUUAUCGCAGUUCCAUUAAAUUCACGUAGUGAUUAUUCAAAAGAACACAGAUAAGCGACAGCAAAAAUUCAAGUCGAUUAUUAUAACGUUUGAAGUGAGUUAUGAAAAUAUUAUUUUUUCAACUCUUAUAAUUAAAACUGAACUCAAAUUUGGUUGAAAAUUGAUCCGUUGUCAUUAGAGCGGCAUCUGCAAGGAGCAUAGUACGAACCUAUAAUUCUUCGAUCUGUCACAAAGUAAGACCGAUACAAGGAGUUUCGAACUAAGUCCGAACACCAUCUAAGUUCAAGAGCUACGGAACAAUUCUUUUCAUGGUCAUCCCUUUUUCCCGCGGAUAAAAUUGAGCUUCAUCCACCUCUUUAAGUACUACACACCAGGAAUGCACAAAACAGAUGAAUUCAAAAUCGCACAUACUGUGGAUGUUUCCUUGGGCGGUACCUUUACGGUUCAGAUGUUUCUUUGGAUGGCAAAAAAAGUUGUAAAGCUUCUACAAUUCCAACAAGGCUACUACAUAGGCUGAAAAGUCCCGGGAUUUUUGAAAAGACGGCGUCACUAAAAAUGAACAAGAUUCAUUUCGAGCUGAUCAUCCGUCACUUGCUUAUGCGUGAGGUUUCAUGACAUUUGGUUUUUUUGUUCACAAACAACAGUUGUUUAAGUGUCACUUCCUGAGCAUUCGUAUAGAA